GAGUGGCAGACGAAGGACAUACCCUGUCUCGGGAGUGCAGUAAAGCCUUUGAUCUACUUCUUAAGAAAUCUUCGAGGACAAUGUAGGAGAACACGGAGGAGACUGGUGAAGGAGGCAGGACACAGCAUGAGGGGUCACUCCAGUUCUCCAGAGGCACAGUCUGUUCCCUCCCCAGGUGCACCGUACAGGUUGAGGGACUAUAUGGGAGCUGAAAUGAAGGCACUCUACUCAGUUUUAGCCACGGGAAGAAGAACACUUUUUGAAGUUCAUCUUGAAGGUCUUCCAGCUACCUCUGCCCUCCUGGACCUACCCUCCUCUCAGGGCUGCUUGCUCUGAGGCACCUUUCCAUGAAGUCUUCCUCACCUUCUGGCAAUGUUCUCUUCCGUGCGUUAAACAUCUCCCCUGUGCCAGAAGCCCAAAUCCAGCCCCAAAUAUCUGGCCUGAGGAGCCAUCGCCAGCAGAGAGGGAUAUACCAGGACUGUGGGAGCCCAGGAUUGGAGGAAGGAAAACUCAGGAGUUCAGCUGGAGAGUUAUCAAACCAUUCUG